rnacentral:lncRNA from 1 species
CUUAAAGUAGAUAGUGAGGUUCAAGUUGAACUGUACAAGAGAAGGAAGGUAGGUAAAGCAUUGAAGGGAACUUAUGAUAGCAUGUCUUCCAAGAAGAAGCAAUUAACUGAAACUUAAUACCAAGUCAGUAAGUUGGAAACCAAUUGCAAAGAUCAGAUCAGAAAACUUCAAGACUAGUUGGAAAGUUGUAAGAAGGGGUUGAAAGAAAAACAUGGUCGUGUUAAGCAGCUGGAAGUUACUCUCUCAACGGCAGAAUGAACUUGACAAGAGGUUUGAAGAAAUCUGAGAGAUGAAAGAUCAAACGCACAAGAGUCUGGAAGAUACCAAUCAACUCAAGCAAGAGACCACUCAUUGGGAGAGGUACAGUCGUCACCUUCAAGUCCUAAUAAUUAAUCUUGAGAUAUAUUAUUUUCAUAAAUUUUAUAGAACAAUGUUUAUAUUUAUCUUGAGAUAAUUACUAACUUUAAUAUAUUUUUUCAAUAUUGUGUCUUUAAAAUAAUUUUAGUUUCUUUCGAUUUUAAAAUAUUAAAUGGUAUCCUACUUUUCAUCAUUCCAUUUAUAGUAUUUGGUUGUUGAUUUUAAUGCUUCAUUUUGAUAUCACAUUGCAAAAAAUUUGAAAGGAUAUAAUACAUAUAUGAAUUUCUUGAAUAUUGAUGAUUUAUUCAAAAUUCAACUAAUUAAAAUAAUUUAUCCUUAUUUUAAAAAAUUAUUUUUAAAAAAUAAAUUUUAUAUUCAUUUUGAACAAAAUAUUUUAACAACAUAAAAGUUACUUCAACAAAGUAUAUUAUCUCAAAUUUCAAAAAUAUAUUAUAAUAGAUGUGUGAAUUCAAACACGAUUAAAUAGAUUUUGUUUUCCUAAAAUUAUAAUAGUAAAAGUAAUACUUGAAACAAAUGUUUUUAAUGUUAAAAUACAUCUUAUAUAAUUUUCAAAGGUAAAUCACUCCCGGUUGAUGUUAAACUAUAAUUGAGUAGGUCACGAUCUUUUCCAAUGUCCUUAUACUUCAUUAUUGCAUUUUUGACAAGAUUUUUGAUUUCUCACAUAUGAGAAUAUAAUUUUUUCAAAGAGGAUUAUACUUUACUCUUUUUUUUUAUAAUAGUUAAUAUAAAGAGUAUAAUAAAAAUAUUAAAAAUAAUGUCUAAAAAAACACUCAUAUUUUAAUUUAUAUCAACGAUAAAAUCAGUUAAAUUUUUACAAUUUUAUUAAUUAAAUUCAAAUAAUUAUUUAAAAAACAAUUAAGCCUAAAAUUUUACAAAAUAAAUAUAAAUUAUAUCAACAUAACAGUUAAGUUUUAAAGAAUACAAAUUUUAUAAUAUAUUUUUAAUAUAAUGCCUCUAAAUAAUUUUAGAUUAUUUCAAUUUUAUAUUUUUUAUAUCAUGUCGGACAAAUAAAAUAAAAACAAAUAAUAGGAUUAUUGAAUUUUUAUCUAUAAAAAAUUGAAUUUAUAGUUUAUUCUUUUUUUUAUAAUAAUGAUUAUAGUAAAUAUAAUAUUAAACAAAAAUAAUGUUUUAUAAUGAAUUGCCAUAUUUGAACAACAAAGUCACAUAAAUAUUUAUAAUAUCAAUUUUUUUUUUAAAGUUACUAAAAUAAUCAGUUUAACAAAAAGUUUACACGUAAAUUUAACAAAUAAUUAAUUACAUGAAUCUUAAUUUAAUAAUAUAUUAAAUUAAAAGGGAUGUCUCUUAGGUUUAUAUUUUAUCUCAGUUUUUAUCACAUCAGUUAUAUUUUUAUAUAGUAACUCUCAAAAUUCAUCUCCAUAUC